AUGUGCGGCAGCGGGGUCAGGCAACCACAGGCAGAUUUUGGGGAGCGGCACAACCAUCAAGCAACGGCUGAUGCCAAGGUGAAUGCAGUGGACUAUUCAAGAUCGAGGGCACCAACGGCAUAUGCUGAGGGCGUCCAUCAACAACCUGCCCAAUGUCCGGAUUCACCGAGGAGUACAACCAGAGACACUGUCGGCUGCCUGCAGGCGCCAAGCCCCCCGACACCGAGCCGUCUGUUCUUCUCUUUGCCCGAAGAAGGAUUAUGGUUCUCCACCUCUCUGCUACUCAUAUUAAAAUUCCCGUAA
rnacentral:rRNA from 1 species